CAGAAGGAUGAAAUCCAGGCGUUGUAGCAGCCUGGCCAGAAAAUGAUGUAGCAUAGGGUCUGCCUGAGGAGUCAAGAU